AAACUUAGGAUAACACCCCGUAAACCGAAG
rnacentral:tRNA from 1 species